ACCCUUACGAUCGCGUUUGGAACCCCUCCAUCGAUCCUUCAUGGGUUACCUUGUCCACCGAUUUGAAGGUGGACAAUGCCGACGAUUUAUUCGAGCCGCCUAUCACAGUUCUGCAGACCGCGGUGACUCCGGCUGCUGGCCGGCAGCUGGACUUCUCCUUGGACGCCGCCUCCCCAUACGACAAGCUGUACCACGUCCUCUACUUCACCCAACUCCGGGCGCUGACGGGCAACGCGACCAGGGUGUUCAACAUCACCCGGAAUGGCGAGACCAGAUCUAGUUGGUAUACCCCGCGUUACCUAUCAUGUGGUUACACAUACAGCGUUGAGCCAUUCGAAGGCUAUUCUCGAUACCAAUACGUUCUCGACGCCACGAGCAACUCCACCCUCCCCCCCAUCAUCAACGCCUUCGAGGUAUACUCUCUGAAGCAGCUCACCCAAGCAGCCACCGAUUCUGGAGAUGGCUCAGAACUCGACAAAAAUAUACCACAGGAAUCUGGUUUCACUGGUUGGUUAUUGCAUCGAUAAAAAUUGCCUAGCUCUUGUUUAUGAAUAUAUGCAGCGAGGAAGUCUUCAUGAGAAUCUACAAGGUUUAAGAAUGCUGAACUUUAGCACUGUUGCUUCUCUUCUCCAAAUGCUUAAUAAUAUGGAAUUUUCUUUUUUGUGAAUAAUAAUGGAAAAAUAAUUUAGGAAAAUAUAUAAUAUUAAGGGCGGAGAAUUGUUACAAUGUUAGUUAAAUUUUAUAUUGUGUAUCGUUCACAUUCUAAUGUUCAAUUAGGAAGCUGUAAUUUUUUUAGAAGUAAUAUCUUGAUUUGGUGGCCAAUGGCUUGUAUCGGAGUAGUGAAGAUUAGAUAUUCUCAUGACUCAUAACCAAAGAUCCAUCUUUUGAGGGAGACAUCUAGUUGGAAAUUUGAAGCGAAAUGGUUAUUUCUUGUUGAUCUUUUGUUAAAUUGCAUUAAUGAAAUUUCUUUGUAAUUAUCAGAUAAGGCUGGUCGUGCUAAAGCCUUGAACUGGGGUCAACGACUACGAAUUGCACUUGACGCUGCACGAGGUUUGGGAGGAUAUAACAUCCCCCAUUGGUCUUUCUACUUGUCUUCGAUAAUAUGAUCUUUCCUUUUAUAAUUUCAAUCUAUAUUUAACAGUGUAGGACUGGAAUAUAUGCAUAAAGGAUGCAGGCCUCCAAUAAUCCAUAGAGAUAUCAAGACCAAUAACAUUCUCUUGAGUGAAGAACUAGAGGCUAGAUAGCAGAUUUUGGGUUAUCCAAGUCUUUCCAUACUGAUGACCAAACCCACGUGUCCACAAAGAUGAUGGUUGGCACCCCUGGAUAUAUCCAUCCUGAGUACCAUCAAACUUACCAACUCACCAACAAGAGUGAUGUGUAUAGCUUUGGUAUAGUUCUGUUGGAGCUUAUCACAGGAAGACCUCCGAUUGUGCCUGGUCUGGGAAACAUUCACAUCAUGCAGUGGAUCGCCCCAAGUCUUUCCUCGGGGAACAUAGAUGAAAUUGUUGAUGAAAAUCUACAAGGAAAAUACGACCCUACUUCUGCAUGGAAGAUCCUGGAAUUAGCUCUCACGUGCACAGCAGAUAAAGGCAGCCAGAGACCAACAAUGUUCGAAGUAGUGAUGCAGCUGAAGAGCUGCUUGGAGCAAGAGAUUGAUUCUUACAAGAGCGAGAACAUAUAUAGUAAAGGCUUUAAUGUAAGCCAAGAAACUGCAUCUGAUAUAGGACCAUUUGGUCCUUCUGCCAGAUAAAUCCAUCACAGUUAUUUCUGCUACGUAAUACUAUGUGUGGGUUUAGAUGAGAUAUGUUGAAUAGAGUCCUCGAAAGAAGUCCAGCUACAUUCAUGUUGGCUAGUAUUUCUAUGCAUGGCAAUGAUUUUGAGUUCUGCCACUCACUGGCCUGACUUCAGAACCACAAAAUCAAGCUUCAUCGUGGUUGUACAACUCUUUUGCUACAUAACAAGUUCUUGAAAUUGAGAUCUUGGGAGAUUAAAGCCAAAGGAAGAUGGUUAUCGAUGCAAAGCUGGUUAAGCUCAUGGUUUGCACCUAGUCAUUAUUCCUUUAGUGUAUGCCUUAUUAGUUUAGGUGCCUGCACGGUGGUGUGUCUUUGAUUGUGUUGGUUAAUGUAUAAAAUGUCUGAACAUAUUACUGGAUAUGUAAAUUACUUUGGUUCCUUUUUC